rnacentral:rRNA from 1 species
CCUACGGGAGGCAGCAGUGAGGAAUAUUGGUCAAUGGACGAGAGUCUGAACCAGCCAAGUAGCGUGAAGGAUGACUGCCCUAUGGGUUGUAAACUUCUUUUAUAUGGGAAUAAAAUGUUCCACGUGUGGGAUUUUGUAUGUACCAUAUGAAUAAGGAUCGGCUAACUCCGUGCCAGCAGCCGCGGUAAUACGGAGGAUCCGAGCGUUAUCCGGAUUUAUUGGGUUUAAAGGGAGCGUAGGUGGAUUGUUAAGUCAGUUGUGAAAGUUUGCGGCUCAACCGUAAAAUUGCAGUUGAAACUGGCAGUCUUGAGUACAGUAGAGGUGGGCGGAAUUCGUGGUGUAGCGGUGAAAUGCUUAGAUAUCACGAAGAACACCAAUUGCGAAGGCAGUUCACUGGACUGCAACUGACACUGAGGCUCGAAAGUGUGGGUAUCAAACAGGAUUAGAUACCCUUGUAGUC